UGUAAGCUUUUUGGUGUUAUACUUUUUUUUUUUUUUGGUUUUAGAGACAGGGUUUUACUGUAUAGCCCUGGCUGUCCUGGAACUCAGUUUGUAGACCAGGCUGGCCUCAAAAUCAGAAAUCUACCUGCCUCAGCCUCCUGAGCACUGGGAUUAAAGGCUUGUGCCACUACGCCCGGCCCAGUGUUAUACUUUUUAUUUAUUUAUUUUUUAAAACAAUGCACUAUUCACUAAACAUAAGCAAGGAUACAGAGUGUAGCAAAAUAUAAACAUGCAAAUGCAAAGUGCUGAUUGACACAAAUUCUGCAUUCCAACAGAGAAACAUGAAUAAUUUUGAAAAGUAGAAAUGUAAGACAGAUAGAAUACCUCACAUCACAUAAGUUUUAUGAAAUGCUAUUAAACAUUACUCUGGGUUAGUGGUCCAUGAUUUAUCUCUAGCGACCAAAUUCAUAUCAUACCAGCAACCGCUCUUCUGUAAAUUGUAUCUAUUUCCAAAGUUGUAAUAAAUUGCACCAUUUACACAGUCUGAGUUUUCAGGAUUGCCUGCUAGUAUUGCAAAUACAUAUGGUGAGUUCAUUCACAUCAAUAGCAACAUUCUCAGACUCAUACAACUUCAAUUUAUAAUGUAACAUUGAAAACUGUCUCCCCUCCCUCCAGCCUACAUCCUUUCCAGCGUGGAGUCAUUUCUACUUCUGGAAUGUCUGCCCUGCCCUUCCCAUCAGUUUUACCCUUUCGAGCACUUUCUCUUUCCCUCAAGAUUACACUGUUCUGAAACCUGCUUGAUUUCCCUCUCUUCUUUCAGCUCUUCUUGUACAAUCUAUCUCACUCAAGAGAGCCAGAUUCACCUUGCUAAGGAGAAUCUCUAAUUAUGUCAGCCCAUUUUAACUUUACUCUUUCUCAAAUAAACCAUGGCUUGAUUAGGACUCAUUAUCCUUUGUUUGUGUGUAUGACCUUGUAAAAUUUCUCCCCCAAGCUACCUUUCUAACCUUGUCACAAAUGUUUCCUUUAAACAGAAACAUAUUACUUAAAAAAUAAACAAUUUCUUCUUUCUUUAAACUAGAAAUCCCUUCAUUUCUUAGUGUGGGUAGGAACUUUUACUACUUUUAUUCUGUGGUUCAAUCAACUGUUUCCCUUAUGUUCCUUUAAAAUUAUUUUCUGACUCACACCCCUAUCUUUGUGAUACAUCAAAAAGAAUAUAUGUAGUAGCCAUGUGCUACCAUUAUUUUUCUAGAGCUCUCUCUUUCCUCUUCCAGUAGUAAUUAUAUUUUGCAUACAUUGCACGAUCUGAGGAUCAGAGCAUGCAUAUCGAGAAGGAGAAUAUGAUUAUCAGUUAAUUUUAAUAGAUAGCAUAUUACUGUACAAGAAAAUCCUAAAAUGUCACUCCCCCUCGAUUUUUGGUUUACUCAUCAUUGAUUCAUAAUAAUUUGAUACUGGGGGAUGUUUUUUAAACUAAGACACAGUUUGUAGAAGAGAUUUUUCUACCCUCCAUUUUCGACUGUAAGAAAUCUGUACCAUAGGACUGAAAUCUUAUGGAUUUCAUGACUAUUAUAAUUCCAGCCAUUGUACUCUGUCUUAACAACUGUAUAAAAGUGCAGACUUUCAAGAAGGUGAAUCCUAGCUGGGCAAGUCUGUUAACAAACACACUUCAUCAUAAAAUAUUAAAAAUUGCAUGUAUACUGGACAUGUACAAAUUUCCUUAUUAUUAUUCUAUAAGAAAUAAAGGUUGAUGCUCUACAUAAUACUUAUUUGUAUUAGAUAUUAUAUGUAGCCAAGAGAUGGAAAGACAUAUACAAUUUAGACAAAAAAGUUCCAC
rnacentral:lncRNA from 1 species